AGGUGAAGCCGUUUGCCCAAUCAGAGGUUGAGACGUCACACUUCCGGUCUGUCUCGUAUGGCCCCAGUCAGCUCGCAGGUCUCUCUGUUUGUCCACCGACAUGCUGACGGUCGGACGCUUCGUGUGAGCAGCAGAUAACUAAAAUUCCCUCUAUGACUUCUGGAGCGGGUCCGAGAGCGACGGGCACAGCCGGCAGCGACUUCCAGCACCGGGUCGCUUCACUCGACCAGAUGAGGAUGGUUUUCAAACCUUUCACACCUGCUACCUUUUCACCAGCGAGUCCUUCAGGCCUCGUCAGCUGGUCCCGGGGUCAGCCCUUCUUAUGGUGCAGGGCUGAGUUUCCUCUGAACGUCUGAAAC